GGGUUUCGAAGGGGAUUUUGAAAAUUCGUGUUUUCUAUAAUUUAUGAAAACUGGUGAACUUAUCAUUCUUCAAACCUAAACUUGUGGAGUGGUAGAUCUUGAAAGUAGGCACUCUAUGAGUGGCAGGCUUUUUGGACAGUUGGCUGAUGAUUUUGAUGAAUGUUCUUCUACUUCUACUCGUGUUGCAGUUAAGAGGAUGGAUAUUGGAUCGAUGGAGUAUAGCUGGAGGUACAUGUUUCGACCAUGGUGUUUGUAUGCAAGAGCAACAAUU
rnacentral:sRNA from 1 species